UCACUUUAAUCAUUCAUGUCUAUUUGCUUGAAGAAAUAUUCUUACGUGACAUACACAUGUUCAUGCAUUUCCUCGUUGCGGCAACAUGAACCAAAUAAGUUGCUUCCACGCAUAAAUGCAACUCCAAGAGUUAGUAUCACUAUCUUCUGCUCUCUAUGCCAUUCGCACAUUUUCCAUUCAGCUGGAGAAAAGGUAGUGUUUGGGUAAUGGAGAAGGAUCAUGGAGCAAAAGAUAAAGAUCGUCUUAGUGUUUUUGUCAAGUAA
rnacentral:lncRNA from 1 species